UGGAGCUGGAGAUGCCCCUCAGCUAUGUGAAUAAGUACAUCUCAGAGAUCUACAUAAAGAUGAUGAAGCCAUGGGUGAUUCUGUGCCUUCACAGUGCCCUGGAAUGUGCCUGCUCUGCACCUGGGGCAGUUUGGUGGAGUUAGGCUGACUUCAGACAGGAUGAUCUUCUACGACUUUUCUGCGACUUCAAAAGAGAGGUCAGACAUCUCCGUGUCCUGAAUUUCUCUGCAACAGCAAAUACUGCCCCAGUCUGAUCCCGUCACUGCAGCUCCCACUUUGUAAAAAACACGUAGUG